ACUUUGACGACCUCCGUGGUCGAGUUGUGUGUACACCGGUUUUCAUGAGUACGCCACUCCGAGGUCCUGGGUUCGAUUCCCGGCCGAGUCGAUGUAGAAAAAAAAAAGUUUUCUAUGUUGUCUUGGGUCUGGGUGUUUGUGGUACCGUCGUUACUUCUGAUUUCCAUAACACAAGUGCUUUAGCUACUUACAUUGGGAUCAGAGUAACGUAUGUGAUGUUGUCCAAUGUUUAUUUAUUUAUUUAUUAUUAUUUAU